GCUGGGUCCCUCUGGAAAUGGCUGCCGUGUCACCCCACGUAAUGCCUUCUCCUGGGAGCAGCUGCAUGGAAAGACUGGUCCUCAUGUUUCCAUUCAGGACACCCACAGAGGGUCUCUCUUCUUUGUGGGUGAGGCCCCAACAGUGAGACCUCAACAGUGAGACAGCUGAGGCCUCUGCUGCAACCACAUUGCAGCCCAGUGGCUCCCCCUGUCCAGGCCCACUUUCCACACCCCUGCAGGUGUUGCUCCAAGGAGCCUCUGCACCUCCUCCCAGACUCAGAUCUGUUUCCUGGGACCCAGGCAUGAGGCUUCUCCCCGGCAGCCUCCGAUGUCACGUGGAUCAGGCAAAGCUGGGCAUCUGUGUCCACGCUGUCUCCUCUCCAGGAUCAGGAGGUGCUGAGCAUCUGUGUCCACGCUGUCUCCUCUCCAGGAUCAGGAGGUGCUGAGCAUCUGUGUCCACGCUGUCUCCUCUCCAGGAUCAGGAGGUGCUGAGCGUCUGUGUCCACGCUGUCUCCUCUCCGGGAUCAGGAGGUGCUGAGCGUCUGUGUCCACGCUGUCUCCUCUCCGGGAUCAGGAGGUGCUGAGCGUCUGUGUCCACGCUGUCUCCUCUCCGGGAUCAGGAGGUGCUGUGCGUCUGUGUCCACGCUGUCUCUUCUCCGGGAUCAGGAGGUGCUGAGCGUCUGUGUCCACGCUGUCUCCUCCCUGGGAUCAGGGGCUUUGCCAGCUUGCUCACCUUUGGCCCCUGGGCACAUGAUGGACUCUUACCAAAUGUUAGUUGAGUAAAUGUGAGUGGGUGGCACAGGAGGAGUCAGGCUAGGUGGCCAUCUGUGUGGGAGAUUCGAGAAAACUCUUCCUGCAAACAGCCUCCCAGAAACUAGCACCAGAAUGCCUGGGCCUCACCAUUGGUGACUCCUUUUUCC
rnacentral:lncRNA from 1 species